rnacentral:rRNA from 1 species
AGCAGCCGCGGUAAUUCCAGCUCCAAUAGCGUAUAUUAAAGUUGUUGCAGUUAAAAGCUCGUAGUUGAAUUUCGGGGUUCUACCGUUGGUCGGGCAAUAGUCUGUACUGGCGUGUGGAAUUUCUACCUUCUGGGGAACCAUCAUGUUAUUUAUUUAGCGUGGUGGGAAACCAGGACCUUUACCUUGAAAAAUUAGAGUGUUCAAAGCAGGCUUACGUCUGAAUACAUUAGCAUGGAAUAAUAAAAUAGGAUGGUGGUCCUGUUUUGUUGGUUUCUGAAUCACCGUAAUGAUUAAUAGGGAUAGUUGGGGCAUUAGUAUUCAAUUGUCAGAGGUGAAAUUCUUGGAUUUAUUGAAGACUAACUUCUGCGAAAGCAUUUGCCAAGGAUGUUUUCAUUUAAUCAAGAACG